UGAGUGAUGAGGCUUUCGGUCGUAAACUCUGUGUUAGGAAGACAAGUGCUAGUGAAUAAGCUGGCACCUGACGGUACNUAACCAGAAAGCCACGGCUAANUACGUGCCAGCAGCGCGGUAAUACGUAGUGGGCANGCGUAUCCCGAAUUAUGGGCGUAAAGCGCGCGCAGUGGGUUUCUUAAGUCUGAUGUGAAAGCCCACGGCUCACCGUGGGAGGGUCAUUGGAAACUGGGGAACUUGAGUGCAGAAGAGGAGAGUGGAAUUCCACGUGUAGCGGUGAAAUGCGUAGAUAUGUGGAGGAACACCAGUGGCGAAGGCGACUCUCUGGUCUGUAACUGACGCUGAGGCGCGAAAACGUGGGGAGCGAACAGGAUUAGAUACCCUGGUAGUCCACCCCGUAAACGUUGGGAACUAGUUGUGGGGUCCAUUCCACGGAUUCCGUGACGCAGCUAACGCAUUAAGUUCCCCGCCUGGGGAGUACGGCCGCAAGGCUAAAACUCAAAGGAAUUGACGGGGACCCGCACAAGCGGCGGAGCAUGCGGAUUAAUUCGAUGCAACGCGAAGAACCUUACCAAGGCUUGACAUAUACGAGAACGGGCCAGAAAUGGUCAACUCUUUGGACACUCGUAAACAGGUGGUGCAUGGUUGUCGUCAGCUCAUGUCGUGAGAUGUUGGGUUAAGUCCCGCAACGAGCGCAACCCUCGUUCUAUGUUGCCAGCACGUAAUGGUGGGAACUCAUGGGAUACUGCCGGGGUCAACUCGGAGGAAGGUGGGGAUGACGUCAAAUCAUCAUGCCCCUUAUGUCUUGGGCUUCACGCAUGCUACAAUGGCCGGUACAAUGAGCUGCGAUACCGCGAGGUGGAGCGAAUCUCAAAAAGCCGGUCUCAGUUCGGAUUGGGGUCUGCAACUCGACCCCAUGAAGUCGGAGUCGCUAGUAAUCGCAGAUCAGCAUUGCUGCGGUGAAUACGUUCCCGGGCCUUGUACACACCGCCCGUCACGUCACGAAAGUCGGUAACACCCGAAGCCGGUGGCCCAACCCCUUGUGGGAGGGAGCUGUCGAAGGUGGGACUGGCGAUUGGGACGAAGUCGUAACAAGGUAGCC
rnacentral:rRNA from 1 species